GAUGAAGAACGCAGCGAAAUGCGAUAAGUAAUGUGAAUUGCAGAAUUCAGUGAAUCAUCGAAUCUUUGAACGCACAUUGCGCCCGCCAGUAUUCUGGCGGGCAUGCCUGCUCGAGCGUCAUUUCAACCCUCAAGACCCCUUCGGGGGACUUGGUGUUGGGGACCGGCACAGGGGCCUGCCUGCUUGUCUUGCAGCGCCCUCGCCGCCCCCGAAAUGAAUUGGCGGCCUCGUCGCGGCCUCCCCUGCGUAGUAGCACAAACCUCGCAACGGGAACGUGACGGCGGCCACUGCCGUAAAACAACCCAAUUUUAUUAGAGUUGACCUCGAAUCAGGUAGGAAUACCCGCUGAACUUAAGCAUAUCAAUAAGCGGAGGA
rnacentral:misc_RNA from 1 species